GAAUCCAUAGGUUAAUGAGGCGAACCGGGGGAACUGAAACAUCUAAGUACCCCGAGGAAAAGAAAUCAACCGAGAUUCCCCCAGUAGCGGCGAGCGAACGGGGAGCAGCCCAGAGCCUGAAUCAGUGUGUGUGUUAGUGGAAGCGUCUGGAAAGGCGCGCGAUACAGGGUGACAGCCCCGUACACAAAAAUGCACAUAUUGUGAGCUCGAUGAGUAGGGCGGGACACGUGGUAUCCUGUCUGAAUAUGGGGGGACCAUCCUCCAAGGCUAAAUACUCCUGACUGACCGAUAGUGAACCAGUACCGUGAGGGAAAGGCGAAAAGAACCCCGGCGAGGGGAGUGAAAAAGAACCUGAAACCGUGUACGUACAAGCAGUGGGAGCACGCUUAGGCGUGUGACUGCGUACCUUUUGUAUAAUGGGUCAGCGACUUAUAUUCUGUAGCAAGGUUAACCGAAUAGGGGAGCCGAAGGGAAACCGAGUCUUAACUGGGCGUUAAGUUGCAGGGUAUAGACCCGAAACCCGGUGAUCUAGCCAUGGGCAGGUUGAAGGUUGGGUAACACUAACUGGAGGACCGAACCGACUAAUGUUGAAAAAUUAGCGGAUGACUUGUGGCUGGGGGUGAAAGGCCAAUCAAACCGGGAGAUAGCUGGUUCUCCCCGAAAGCUAUUUAGGUAGCGCCUCGUGAAUUCAUCUCCGGGGGUAGAGCACUGUUUCGGCAAGGGGGUCAUCCCGACUUACCAACCCGAUGCAAACUGCGAAUACCGGAGAAUGUUAUCACGGGAGACACACGGCGGGUGCUAACGUCCGUCGUGAAGAGGGAAACAACCCAGACCGCCAGCUAAGGUCCCAAAGUCAUGGUUAAGUGGGAAACGAUGUGGGAAGGCCCAGACAGCCAGGAUGUUGGCUUAGAAGCAGCCAUCAUUUAAAGAAAGCGUAAUAGCUCACUGGUCGAGUCGGCCUGCGCGGAAGAUGUAACGGGGCUAAACCAUGCACCGAAGCUGCGGCAGCGACGCUGAUGCGUUGUUGGGUAGGGGAGCGUUCUGUAAGCCUGCGAAGGUGUGCUGUGAGGCAUGCUGGAGGUAUCAGAAGUGCGAAUGCUGACAUAAGUAACGAUAAAGCGGGUGAAAAGCCCGCUCGCCGGAAGACCAAGGGUUCCUGUCCAACGUUAAUCGGGGCAGGGUGAGUCGACCCCUAAGGCGAGGCCGAAAGGCGUAGUCGAUGGGAAACAGGUUAAUAUUCCUGUACUUGGUGUUACUGCGAAGGGGGGACGGAGAAGGCUAUGUUGGCCGGGCGACGGUUGUCCCGGUUUAAGCGUGUAGGCUGGUUUUCCAGGCAAAUCCGGAAAAUCAAGGCUGAGGCGUGAUGACGAGGCACUACGGUGCUGAAGCAACAAAUGCCCUGCUUCCAGGAAAAGCCUCUAAGCAUCAGGUAACAUCAAAUCGUACCCCAAACCGACACAGGUGGUCAGGUAGAGAAUACCAAGGCGCUUGAGAGAACUCGGGUGAAGGAACUAGGCAAAAUGGUGCCGUAACUUCGGGAGAAGGCACGCUGAUAUGUAGGUGAAGCGACUUGCUCGUGGAGCUGAAAUCAGUCGAAGAUACCAGCUGGCUGCAACUGUUUAUUAAAAACACAGCACUGUGCAAACACGAAAGUGGACGUAUACGGUGUGACGCCUGCCCGGUGCCGGAAGGUUAAUUGAUGGGGUUAGCGCAAGCGAAGCUCUUGAUCGAAGCCCCGGUAAACGGCGGCCGUAACUAUAACGGUCCUAAGGUAGCGAAAUUCCUUGUCGGGUAAGUUCCGACCUGCACGAAUGGCGUAAUGAUGGCCAGGCUGUCUCCACCCGAGACUCAGUGAAAUUGAACUCGCUGUGAAGAUGCAGUGUACCCGCGGCAAGACGGAAAGACCCCGUGAACCUUUACUAUAGCUUGACACUGAACAUUGAGCCUUGAUGUGUAGGAUAGGUGGGAGGCUUUGAAGUGUGGACGCCAGUCUGCAUGGAGCCGACCUUGAAAUACCACCCUUUAAUGUUUGAUGUUCUAACGUUGACCCGUAAUCCGGGUUGCGGACAGUGUCUGGUGGGUAGUUUGACUGGGGCGGUCUCCUCCUAAAGAGUAACGGAGGAGCACGAAGGUUGGCUAAUCCUGGUCGGACAUCAGGAGGUUAGUGCAAUGGCAUAAGCCAGCUUGACUGCGAGCGUGACGGCGCGAGCAGGUGCGAAAGCAGGUCAUAGUGAUCCGGUGGUUCUGAAUGGAAGGGCCAUCGCUCAACGGAUAAAAGGUACUCCGGGGAUAACAGGCUGAUACCGCCCAAGAGUUCAUAUCGACGGCGGUGUUUGGCACCUCGAUGUCGGCUCAUCACAUCCUGGGGCUGAAGUAGGUCCCAAGGGUAUGGCUGUUCGCCAUUUAAAGUGGUACGCGAGCUGGGUUUAGAACGUCGUGAGACAGUUCGGUCCCUAUCUGCCGUGGGCGCUGGAGAACUGAGGGGGGCUGCUCCUAGUACGAGAGGACCGGAGUGGACGCAUCACUGGUGUUCGGGUUGUCAUGCCAAUGGCACUGCCCGGUAGCUAAAUGCGGAAGAGAUAAGUGCUGAAAGCAUCUAAGCACGAAACUUGCCCCGAGAUGAGUUCUCCCUGACCCUUUAAGGGUCCUGAAGGAACGUUGAAGACGACGACGUUGAUAGGCCGGGUGUGUAAGCGCAGCGAUGCGUUGAGCUAACCGGUACUAAUGAACCGUGAGGCUUAACCUU
rnacentral:rRNA from 1 species